rnacentral:rRNA from 1 species
AUGGUGGCGGCGGUGCCUUGGUUGCCCUGCAUCUGCGUGGGGAACCCCGGAUCUGGAGCGGCGGCUCCAUUGUCAAGAUACGUUGGAGACGUAUCACCGUGCGGGCGGUGGAUGUGGUGUCCCCACCGCGCGGGCGGCGGGAUCCGGUGGUCGUUGGCGGCCGACGGUGGCUUAUGCGGCGGUCGGUGCGCGCGAUCUGGCGCCUCCCCUCCUCCCCUGUUCAGCGUGCGGACCAGCCUGGUCGGGCCGCACUUCUUCUUGGGCGCCGGUUCUGUACAGGAGGCGCUGCUGGUGGCGGGGAUCUAG